rnacentral:lncRNA from 1 species
AACUGUUGAGCUUCACUAUUUUCUCUGCCCUUCCCUUCCCUCUCCUUUGGAUAGCAGAAGACAGAGCCAGGUGCUGUAGAAACUCUAGGCCCACUUUGUGGAGGUUUUGUGUUGUGACACAACUUGGGGUUAGCUGCUGCAUGGCUCCCCAGACAAAGGGAUGUCUGUGCACAAAGCACAAGGUGUGUCUCUUAAGAGACCAACAAAAGUCCUUGCCAACUGCUAUGAAUUUAUGGUAUUUGUUUUGUUGGAACAGACAAUUAACCAACACAGAAAAUAAAUAAAAAGAACAGGAAAUCUAUGGUGUAAAGUUAAAGUAAAACAAAACCAUGAAGGAAGAAAUGAGAUGAGAGAACGUCCAGAUAUUUUGCAACAAAUUCUAAUGGUGGGUUAAAGCAGAAAAGAAAGCUACCAAAGCUGGGCCUUUGAGCAUGUUAAGGGAAAUAAGUUAUUUAUUGAAGUUAAUGUUGAUGUUAAUGGAACUUUACAGGAAGAAGAUUACAGCAGCAUCUGCCAAAAGCUGCAAUGACAGACAUGAGUAAUAAAACAAUAGCCAGAGAGCAGCUGUAGGAAGAAAUGGGUGAAAUGCGAUGAGAGGGUUGUAACGCUUAUUUUUUUAUAGCUGCUCUCCAAAAGCGAUGUCUCACCUUCAAAGACCUGUAUCUUUGAAGACAGGUCACUUUUGCUAAUAAAUCCUUGAAACGUUGCUGUACAAUUGACACAAGAGGUGAGUCCCUGUUGUCAUGUUCAUGUGUGUGCUCUGCAGGCCGGCUCCAGGGAGGCGGCAUCCCACCCUGCAGCACAGGGCAGUGACCCAAACUCCAUGCUGGCUUGCGGGUGGCAGUGUGUAACGCUGUGUGGGUCAGUGCCCAUGGGCACUGGUUGUCCUCCAGAGACAGUAAAAUCUUUCAUGAGAACUACAUCCAGGAAGAGCAGAGCGAAUGCGCAACAGUUACGGGAACCCUGGGGAGGGCAGGCUUCUUGCAGCCCAACCCUAGGAGCUGUUGAGAGAGAAUUAUGUAAAUCCUGAGGACGUUGUAUGUGGGGCAGAAGCUGUUCAACAAUGAUCUUCCUCUGUAAUGGGCAGGAAGUGUUCAGAGUUCGGACAAGUGCUUAAGUGCACCGUCUGCUCAAUAAAGCCCUGAAACUGCUGCCA